rnacentral:rRNA from 1 species
CUUAGGACCGUUAUAGUUACGGCCGCCGUUUACUGGGGCUUCAGUUCAGAGCUUCGCUUACGCUAACCCCUCUCCUUAACCUUCCAGCACCGGGCAGGUGUCAGCCCCUAUACUUCGCCUUACGGCUUCGCAGAGACCUGUGUUUUUGCUAAACAGUCGCUUGGGCCUAUUCACUGCGGUUUUCCGUUAAGAAAGCACCCCUUCUCCCGAAGUUACGGGGUCAUUUUGCCGAGUUCCUAAACCAGAGUUCUCUCGCACACCUUAGGAUUCUCUCCUCGCCUACCUGUGUCGGUU